CCUACGGGUGGCAGCAGUGGGGAAUAUUGCGCAAUGGGCGAAAGCCUGACGCAGCGACGCCGCGUGAGGGAUGAAGGUCUUCGGAUCGUAAAGCUCUGUCAGCAGGGAAGAACGGUCACUGUGCUAAUCAGCAGUCAAUUGACGGUACCUGCAAAGGAAGCACCGGCUAACUCCGUGCCAGCAGCCGCGGUAAUACGGAGGGUGCGAGCGUUAAUCGGAAUUACUGGGCGUAAAGCGCUCGUAGGCGGUAUGGCAAGUCAAGGGUGAAAGCCCCGCGCUCAACGUGGGAACUGCCUUUGAAACUGGAAAACUGGAGUGUGGGAGAGGAUAGUGGAAUUCCAGGUGUAGGAGUGAAAUGCGUAGAUAUCUGGAGGAACAUCAGUGGCGAAGGCGACUAUCUGGCACAUAACUGACGCUGAGGAGCGAAAGCGUGGGUAGCAAACAGGAUUAGAUACCCCUGUAGUC
rnacentral:rRNA from 1 species